AAACUUUCAGCAACGGAUCUCUUGGUUCUGGCAUCGAUGAAGAACGCAGCGAAAUGCGAUAAGUAAUGUGAAUUGCAGAAUUCAGUGAAUCAUCGAAUCUUUGAACGCACAUUGCGCCCCCUAGUAUUCUGGGGGGCAUGCCUGUUCGAGCGUCAUUU
rnacentral:rRNA from 1 species